AAAUAAAUAAACAAUAAAAAAUUUUAAUGGUCUGGUACAGCCAUACACACCCCUUUGGCACCUCUCAGACACAUAUAGCAGAGUUAGGGACCCUAUGCUACAGACAAGUUGCUUCAGACACUUUGCCCAUAUGUCUUCUGGAACAUCAACAUGUCCCAGCUGAUAGAAAUGUGAGUAUUAUUUAAUUCUGUUAUUUAAAUUUUAUUUUUAAAGAUUAUCUUUUACUACUACAAAAUCAGAGCCUGUCCAUUGUCAUACAUCAGAAAAUAAGGACAAGCAAAAAUCACAGAACAAAAGUAUUCCCACCCCUUAGGUUCCUGUACCAGUCAGCCUUCGGGGAGACAAGAACAAUGCCAAUGACUACCGAUUCCUCCCUUCAUCACCUCUCUCCUAAGGGGCAGAGAACUCAAGGAAGCUCUAACUUCCAUUUCUAGGAUUGUCACCACCCACUUUACAGCAGAGAUUCAACUUUAUUAAAGGAUUCACUCAACUUAUUAGCCUGUUUGAGAAGAGUUAGAACAAACAAUCCUAAAAACUGUAUGGAACCACAGAAGACCC